rnacentral:rRNA from 1 species
AUUACGGGAGGCAGCAGGGGGGAAUAUUGGACAAUGGGCCACAAGCCUGAUCCAGCAAUUCUGUGUGCACGAUGAAGGUCUUCGGAUCGUAAAGUGCUUUCAGUUGGGAAGAAGAAAGUGACGGUACCAACAGAAGAAGCGACGGCUAAUACGUGCCAGCAGCCGCGGUAAUAAU